CCUACGGGAGGCAGCAGUGGGGAAUAUUGGACAAUGGGCGAAAGCCUGAUCCAGCAAUGCCGCGUGAGUGAUGAAGGCCUUAGGGUUGUAAAGCUCUUUUACUGGGGAUGAUAAUGACAGUACCCAGAGAAUAAGCCCCGGCUAACUCCGUGCCAGCAGCCGCGGUAAUACGGAGGGGGCUAGCGUUGUUCGGAAAUACUGGGCGUAAAGCGCACGUAGGCGGUAAAGUAAGUCAGAGGUGAAAUCCCAGGGCUCAACCCUGGAACUGCCUUUGAAACUGCUAUACUAGAAUCAUGGAGAGGUCAGUGGAAUUCCGAGUGUAGAGGUGAAAUUCGUAGAUAUUCGGAAGAACACCAGUGGCGAAGGCGACUGACUGGACAUGUAUUGACGCUGAGGUGCGAAAGCGUGGGGAGCAAACAGGAUUAGGAUACCCUGGUAGUCCACGCCGUAAACGAUGAUAACUAGUUGUUGGGGUUCACAGAACUUCAGUGACGCAGCUAACGCAUUAAGUUAUCCGCCUGGGGAGUACGGUCGCAAGAUUAAACUCAAGGAAUUAGACGG
rnacentral:rRNA from 1 species